rnacentral:rRNA from 1 species
ACGCUCGACACCUACGGGGGCAGCAGUGGGGAAUAUUGCACAAUGGGGGGAACCCUGAUGCAGCGACGCCGCGUGAGGGAAGAAGGUUUUCGGAUUGUAAACCUCUGUCUUUGGUGACGAUAAUGACGGUAGCCAAAGAGGAAGCUACGGCUAACUACGUGCCGGCAGCCGCGGUAAUCUGAGCGGGCUGGCAAGGC